CAGUUCGGAUUGCAGUCUGCAACUCGACUGCAUGAAGCUGGAAUCGCUAGUAAUCGCGAAUCAGAAUGUCGCGGUGAAUACGUUCCCGGGCCUUGUACACACCGCCCGUCACACCAUGGGAGUUGGAAGCACCCGAAGUCGGUGACCUGAACCGAAAGGGAGGAGCCGCCGAAGGUGAAGCCAGCGACUGGGGUGAAGUCGUAACAAGGUAAC
rnacentral:rRNA from 1 species